rnacentral:rRNA from 1 species
GGUUAAGUUAGAAAGGGCGCACGGUGGAUGCCUUGGCACUAGGAGCCGAUGAAGGACGGGACGAACACCGAUAUGCUUCGGGGAGCUGUAAGCAAGCUUUGAUCCGGAGAUUUCCGAAUGGGGAAACCCACCACUCGUAAUGGAGUGGUAUCCAUAUCUGAAUACAUAGGAUAUGAGAAGGCAGACCCGGGGAACUGAAACAUCUAAGUACCCGGAGGAAGAGAAAGCAAAUGCGAUUCCCUGAGUAGCGGCGAGCGAAACGGGACCAGCCCAAACCAAGAGGCUUGCCUCUUGGGGUUGUAGGACACUCUGUACGGAGUUACAAAGGAACGAGGUAGAUGAAGAGGUCUGGAAAGGCCCGCCAUAGAAGGUAACAGCCCUGUAGUCAAAACUUCGUUCUCUCCUGAGUGGAUCCUGAGUACGGCGGAACACGUGAAAUUCCGUCGGAAUCCGGGAGGACCAUCUCCCAAGGCUAAAUACUCCCUAGUGACCGAUAGUGAACCAGUACCGUGAGGGAAAGGUGAAAAGCACCCCGGAAGGGGAGUGAAAGAGAUCCUGAAACCGUGUGCCUACAAGUAGUCAGAGCCCGUUAACGGGUGAUGGCGUGCCUUUUGUAGAAUGAACCGGCGAGUUACGAUCCCGUGCAAGGUUAAGCAGAAGAUGCGGAGCCGCAGCGAAAGCGAGUCUGAAUAGGGCGAAUUGAGUACGUGGUCGUAGACCCGAAACCAGGUGAUCUACCCAUGUCCAGGGUGAAGUUCAGGUAACACUGAAUGGAGGCCCGAACCCACGCACGUUGAAAAGUGCGGGGAUGAGGUGUGGGUAGGGGUGAAAUGCCAAUCGAACCUGGAGAUAGCUGGUUCUCUCCGAAAUAGCUUUAGGGCUAGCCUCAAGGUAAGAGUCUCGGAGGUAGAGCACUGAUUGGACUAGGGGCCCCUACCGGGUUACCGAAUUCAGUCAAACUCCGAAUGCCGAUGACUUAUCCUUGGGAGUCAGACUGCGAGUGAUAAGAUCCGUAGUCGAAAGGGAAACAGCCCAGACCGCCAGCUAAGGUCCCAAAGUAUACGUUAAGUGGAAAAGGAUGUGGAGUUGCUUAGACAACCAGGAUGUUGGCUUAGAAGCAGCCACCAUUUAAAGAGUGCGUAAUAGCUCACUGGUCGAGUGACUCUGCGCCGAAAAUGUACCGGGGCUAAACGUAUCACCGAAGCUGCGGACUGUUCUUCGAACAGUGGUAGGAGAGCGUUCUAAGGGCUGUGAAGCAAGACCGGAAGGACUUGUGGAGCGCUUAGAAGUGAGAAUGCCGGUAUGAGUAGCGAAAGAGGGGUGAGAAUCCCCUCCACCGAAUGCCUAAGGUUUCCUGAGGAAGGCUCGUCCGCUCAGGGUUAGUCGGGACCUAAGCCGAGGCCGAAAGGCGUAGGCGAUGGA